rnacentral:tRNA from 1 species
GAGAGAUGGCUGAGUGGUUGAUAGCCCCGGUAUUGUCAAAUGGU